rnacentral:lncRNA from 1 species
AGUAUCUAAAAACAUAAACUUGAGGGCAAACUUGAUGUGAGACUUCAUAUAAACAGAGCUGAUUUAGGAUCAUUGUGAUAGUUUUGGUACGUUCUCGAGAAACAAACUGCACUAAUUUGAAUUGUGUCAUUCUCAAGUAGAACAUUCCCAAAUCUAACUGUAACUAGCUGUUCUUUACAGAUUUACUAAACACCACAGGCUUUUGUCUCUAGGAGAAUUAAAGCGAAACACAGCGAUUAUUACAAUCCCAGAAUCAUAGAACGGAUGACACUGGAAGGGACCUCUUGAGACCAUCUAGUCCAACCCUCCAGUUUAAAGUAGGGGCGGCUGGACCUGGUUGCCAAGGUCUGUGUCCAGUCAUACUGCGCAUCUUCACAGAGACACACCAACCACUCAACAGCUUAUAGGGUCCAGCCUUCUGGACUGUAACCCCUGAACUACUGAACCCCAUCACCCAGUGCCAGAUCCAGACUCCCCUUUAAACACCAGGGAUGGUGACCCCAUUGCCUCCCUGGGCAGCCCAUCCCAGUGCCUCAUCACCCUAACAGUGAAAUUUUUUUUUUUCUACUAUCUGUUUUCAAACGGGUCAACCCGCUUGAAUGUCCAAUUGCCCUCGGGACUCAAAAAAGUUUGUUUGUUUGUUUGUUUGUUUGUUUUUCUUCCACUUAAAAAGGAAUUUCUUACAUCUCAGUCUGUUGCCCAUUUAUCAGCCACUGAAAAACAUCGAUGAGAUUCCCCCCGAUCGUCUCUCGCAGGCUGCGUAGCCCUAUCUCGCUCAGCCUCUCCUUGUAGGAGAGAUGCUCCAGUCCCUGCGCCAUGGGAGUUCUUUGAGUGCCAGAAUCGCAAACCCUGGAGCGAACAGGACCGGCAGUUCCCGGCUGCCCGCUCACGGCUUCUCUCCUCCCCUUCCGCCCGCCGCCGUCAGUUCCGGGCCGCCGGCCGCCGCCAGGAUGGUGCCGCCGGUGCAGGUCUCGCCGCUCAUCAAGGUGAGGGCGCGGCGGCGGUGUGUCCGGCGGGCCCGGGGGUCCCGGGUGUGCCGAGGCCGCGGGACGGGCCGGCGGGCCGGGGGGCUCGGCGGGCCGGGGCGGGGGGCGGCGGCGGGGCCGGCGGUGCGUGUGGCUGAGCGAAAGGCGCGUCUUAUGUCUCUCGUCCCGCAGUUCCCCGCUACUUCGGCGCUGCUCGUGGGGAUGAUCUACGGCAAGAAGCGAUACGACUACCUGAAGCCGAUUGCUGAAGAAGAGAGAAGAAUAGAGGCGGAGGAGAAAAAGAAACGUGAGGAGCUGGAGCGGAUUGCAAAAGAGAUCGCAGAAGCAAGUGAAGAUUCCAUAUUGAAAUGAACAAAAGAUGUGAUUUGAAUUUCACACGUGGCUAGGCUGUGAACUGUCCAAUGGUUUCUGAACUCUGCAUGAUAUUCUAUCAAUAAAGUACUUACUACACUUCA